rnacentral:rRNA from 1 species
AUCACUCGGCUCGUGGAUCGAUGAAGACCGCAGCUAAAUGCGCGUCAGAAUGUGAACUGCAGGACACAUGAACAUCGACACGUUGAACGCAUAUGGCGCAUCGGACGACUCAACCCGACCGAUGCACACAUCCUUGAGUGCCUACCAAGUUAUCUCAACACUCUAACCAAACUGACCGUCCUGACCCCAUCAUAGGGGGGUAGGCUGUCGCAGCAUGGCGUGCUCGGAUCCGCAUCCUUGUCGGGACCGUGGGCGCUGAAAGUGAGAGUGCUAACACAGAGAGACAUACGAGGUAUGGUACACAAACCUAAACACACACACACACAUGUGAGCAUGGGUGAAGAGCGAGCGCGCGUCAAGUCGCACGGUUCGACCUCUAGUAUCAACCAACGGAUGUAUCCACCACAGCAUAUAAGGUUAUCACCAAUUGCACGGGGACUUCCACCGGUUGGCUCGGGUCGAGUAACACUUGCGGCCCAACGCGCUCGUAUCUUUCCUCGCAUCCAGUUGCAGUCGCGAGACGUGCUCACGCCGUGUGGGUGAGUGAGGUUAGCACGACAGGGGUGAUUUAUCACCGCUUCUCCCGUCGCAUCAUUGUGACAGUGGAGUCUGUACGCCUCAAGUGAUGUGUGACUACCCCCUAAAUUUAAGCAU